rnacentral:tRNA from 1 species
GGCAUUGUGGCUCAGUGGUUGAGCACCGGCGAUCGUUCAGCGCGAACGGUGGCCGGCCACGGUGGUUCGAAUCCACCCGGUGCCG